rfam:Hymenolepis nana genome assembly, scaffold: HNAJ_scaffold0000103
AAACUUACUUGGCGCUGGGUCCAGAGUGAUCAUGAAGGCUCUGGCUCCAGGUGGAGACUCACCAUUGCACUCCGGUGUGUUGAAGCUUGCGACGAACUCAAAAUGGGUUUGCUCGGGCGCAUAGUUUUUGAGAGUGGGGAGGCCUUCGGGCCAUCCCUU